UGCGCAGGCGGUUCUGAAAGUCAGCUGUGAAAGCCCCGGGCUUAACCUGGGAAUGGCGGUUGAAACUACAGGACUAGAAUCUGGCAGAGGGGGGUGGAAUUCCACGUGUAGCAGUGAAAUGCGUAGAGAUGUGGAGGAACACCGAUGGCGAAGGCAGCCCCCUGGGCUGAGAUUGACGCUCAGGCACGAAAGCGUGGGGAGCAAACAGGAUUAGAUACCCUGGUAGUCCACGCCCUAAACGAUGUCAACUAGGUGUUGGGAGCGCAAGUUCUUGGUACCGCAGCUAACGCGUGAAGUUGACCGCCUGGGGAGUACGGUCGCAAGAUUAAA
rnacentral:rRNA from 1 species